GUUCAAAUCGUCCGGGGGACGAUUGCCCUGAACGGACCGAAGCGGAGCGUAGAACCGAUUGAUUCAGGUUCGAAUCCUGAUAUGAGCA
rnacentral:tRNA from 1 species